UACUAUUAGUAUAUAGUUGUGGGGAUAUGAGUAUUGCCCAACGUGUCCAAAAGAAAAAAUUGGAAGUAUACGAUAUUGAUGUUCUUUCUCUCUAGUGAGUAUACGAUAUUGAUGUUCUUUCUGGUUUAAAUUGUAAGUUCAUAAGCCCAACGGCUCAUUCGUGACCGUUGAUGUCUCUAUCUCUCGCAAUCGCCAAAGGGAAGCAUCGCCAAGAAAGAAAAAAGAUUGUCAUCGUCGAAUUUAUUACCUGAGUUUUCUAUCUGUAGUGAUAUUCCUUGAUGGUUGAAAAUGGGGUUUCCAUUUCAAGCUUUCUUCACUAUGAUUUCUGGUUUUACUUGUAAAUUGGGACGGGUGGAGGUUGGGGGUUUCCGAUUUCAACAAUUUAAGAUGUUUUCAUCUGAUUUCUGGUUCUACAUGUAUGAUUUCUUGAUGGAAAUUCGGAGGGGUGGAGGUGGGGGUUUCUGGUUUCUUCACUGAGAUUUCUGGGUUUACGAUAGGAUGGACUGCAGCUGGCGGAUUUUAUCCUUUAGUUCAACUGCAAGGGAUAGUAUUUAAUCUUCAAUAUAAACCAGACCAACAGAAAUAGAAUCAAGUCACUCUUUAACACCUUGUUGAAUUCUGAAAAUCUUAGUUGGUCGAAUCAAUUCUGUGAUUUUUCUAUCUUUAUUGAUGUUUCCUUCUGGAUUCGUUUCUGUUCUGUGUAUUAUUUUGCACUUUUACUAUGAACCUUUGCCUUCAAUUGUAAGAUUUCUUAAUUGUUGAAAAUGGGAGGGGCUUUCCGAUUUCAAUAAUUUAGGAUGAAAAUCUCAACUACAAAUUAAGAGUUGGAGGUGGAGGGUGUUAACCACCCGAGCAUGUGCAUCUGAUGGGGGUAAUCUGGUAUUUCAUCUAUUUCCUUUUUUGAAAUGCAAUAACCUGAUUGACUGAACGUUGAUAAUUCACCAAAUGUUCAUGCUUAUCAUAGGCAGGUGAUGUUCAAUUUUCUCUCCUUGAUGCUGUUGCAGGUUUCAAGCUAAUCAUCUCAAGACAAAAUAUUCCUUUGGUUUGUCAUAGUCUGUGUUUGUUGUUUCUUGUUACACCUGCUUCUAUUUUGGUAUUUGACAGAGCACCUUUAAAUUUAAUGUUUGAACCACAACUAUGGUUUGUUGAGAGGAAUGGCUCAUCAUCAGCUUACCUGAUUCAAGUUCUGGAUAUAAUGUUGUUGGGGAAGAAUGAAAAUUUAGCGUAAUGGUUAGCCUUUUCAGUGGAUACAGAAGAGAAGAAGCGGUCCAAGUUACGGAAGUUUGUUGAUACCUUCUGCAGGAAGCCUCAGGACAAUUUUGCUUCCACGCAACUCACUUUUAUGGCCUUAAGGAGCACGUGCUAACCACUUGCCUCAUUGACAUAUCAGCCAGAAAGCCCAACGAAGCAUUAUGUCCAAUUGGAAGAGCUGCCAGAACUGAUCUUUUAUCAUCAGGUCUGUUGUACAGCUUUUUUCACCUUCUGCUGCAUUUCCUAAAUGAUUAAAGCCACGAUUUAUCAGCUGGUCGGAUGGCAGUGUUCUAGAUUUUACAUUGAAUUGGAACACCUCUCCAUUCAAAGUAUUGAUGGACACUACUUUCAACUCAAGGAUCACUCGCAGCCCUUUGAAAUAUAUCCGUUGUUGUCAUUGGUCACUCAUCUAUCCUAUCAGCUAAUGUUUUUCUAUUCUAUCCUUCUUUUUUCUUUUUCUAAAUUUUUUGUUUCAGAUUAUAUUUGGAUGAAUUGGAUGAACUCAAGCUAGGAUUACUGCAUCUUUUGAUUUUCUUUUAUUUUGAAACAGUAACAUGCAACUUUUGAUAAUUUUGAGUUUUCACUGUUUGAUGAA